rnacentral:rRNA from 1 species
UACGGGAGGCAGCAGUGGGGAAUAUUGCACAAUGGGCGCAAGCCUGAUGCAGCCAUGCCGCGUGUAUGAAAAAGGCCUUCGGGUUGUAAAGUACUUUCAGUCGUGAGGAAGGUGUUAAGGUUAAUAACCUUAGCAAUUGACGUUAGCGACAGAAGAAGCACCGGCUAACUCCGUGCCAGCAGCCGCGGUAAUACGGAGGGUGCGAGCGUUAAUCGGAAUUACUGGGCGUAAAGGGCACGCAGGCGGCUAAUUAAGUUGGAUGUGAAAUCCCCGGGCUUAACCUGGGAAUGGCAUUCAAGACUGGUUAGCUAGAGUCUUGUAGAGGGGGUAGAAUUCCAUGUGUAGCGGUGAAAUGCGUAGAGAUGUGGAGGAAUACCGGUGGCGAAGGCGGCCCCUGGACAAAGACUGACGCUCAUGUGCGAAAGCGUGGGGAGCAAAC